CCUUUCGUGUUCUCCUUUCUCGGCCCCCUCCCCUGUUUUCUCCCCUGUUCGUGUCUUCCCUCCUCCCCUCGUGCUCUUCCGCCGCAAAUCACCUUCCACCGUCGCCUCUGGCGCGGGUUGGCGUGGCUGCGCCGCCCAGCUCAGCCGCCCUCCCUCCUCUCCUCUCCUCUCUUUCGUGCUUCUCUGCUUGCAUCCCCUUUGCUCGUGCUUUCCUUUCCAGAAAACCAAAACCAAUAUUUGGUCCUUGGUUUUUAUUCUCCUUAAAACCCACAAGUUAAUUGGGCCACUCUAGUUUGGGCUUUUGAAAUUGGACUCGGGGCUCAGGAAGGACGAUCCAUCAGACAGGAAGUAUAAAAACUACGGUUGAGGUACUGCGGGAAUCGAUGGAAACGCGUAGAGGCGAGGAAUUUCACUUUUAUAUUUUUCACCUAGUUUAUGCUUGAUGUUUAUAAUAGUUUAAUUUAAAGACUUUUAGUAAUUUAUGUACUUGUAUUUUGGGAAUAUAAAUGAUUAUUAUAUUAAUUUGGAGGUUUUUAUGGCUUAUGUAUGAUGUUGCCUUGUAAUUUCCAAGAGGGAAUUACGGCAGGUAAUGUCCCGACCAAAUUAGGUUAAUUCCGCUGCUAAUUAUGCUUUAAUAAGUGAUUUAGA